GAUGAACGCUGGCGGCGUGCCUAAUACAUGCAAGUCGAGCGAACAGACGAGGAGCUUGCUCCUCUGACGUUAGCGGCGGACGGGUGAGUAACACGUGGAUAACCUACCUAUAAGACUGGGAUAACUUCGGGAAACCGGAGCUAAUACCGGAUAAUAUAUUGAACCGCAUGGUUCAAUAGUGAAAGACGGUUUUGCUGUCACUUAUAGAUGGAUCCGCGCCGCAUUAGCUAGUUGGUAAGGUAACGGCUUACCAAGGCAACGAUGCGUAGCCGACCUGAGAGGGUGAUGGGACACAGGAGAAGAGAGACGCGCCAGACACUCACAGGAGGGAGAGGAGUAGAAUAUUGGCCAAAGGGGGCGAGACCGAGACGGCGAAACGGCGUGUGUGUGAAAAAGGUUCGGGUUGUGAAAACCUCUUUUAGGGGGAGAAAAGAAGUGUGUAAGUAACUAGCCAUUUUGACAGGGUACCAAGAAAAAGAGCCGGGUAUAUUCGUG
rnacentral:rRNA from 1 species